UACGAAGGGUGCAAGCGUUACUCGGAAUUACUGGGCGUAAAGCGUGCGUAGGUGGUUCGUUAAGUCCGAUGUGAAAGCCCUGGGCUCAACCUGGGAAUGGCAUUGGAUACUGGUGGGCUAGAGUGCGGUAGAGGGCAGUGGAAUUCCCGGUGUAGCAGUGAAAUGCGUAGAGAUCGGGAGGAACAUCUGUGGCGAAGGCGACUGCCUGGACCAGCACUGACACUGAGGCACGAAAGCGUGGGGAGCAAACAGG
rnacentral:rRNA from 1 species